CUGCCUACGGGAGGCAGCAGUGGGGGAUAUUGCACAAUGGGGGGAACCCUGAUGCAGCGACGCCGCGUGGGUGAAGACGGCCUUCGGGUUGUAAACCUCUGUCGCAGGGGACGAAGGAGAUGACGGUACCCUGUGAGGAAGCCACGGCUAACUACGUGCCAGCAGCCGCGGUAAUACGUAGGUGGCGAGCGUUGUCCGGAAUUACUGGGUGUAAAGGGAGCGUAGGCGGUUUAGCAAGUCAGAAGUGAAAGCCCGGGGCUCAACUCCGGGACUGCUUUUGAAACUGUU
rnacentral:rRNA from 1 species